rnacentral:rRNA from 1 species
CCUACGGGCGGCAGCAGUGGGGGAUAUUGCACAAUGGGGGAAACCCUGAUGCAGCGACGCCGCGUGAGUGAAGAAGUAUUUCGGUAUGUAAAGCUCUAUCAGCAGGGAAGUAAACGACAGUACCUGACCAAGAAGCCCCGGCUAACUACGUGCCAGCAGCCGCGGUAAUACGUAGGGGGCAAGCGUUAUCCGGAUUUACUGGGUGUAAAGGGAGCGUAGACGGUUUGGUAAGUCUGGAGUGAAAGGCCGGGGCCCAACCCCGGAACUGCUUUGGAAACUGUGUAACUGGAGUACAGGAGGGGCAGGCGGAAUUCCUGGUGUAGCGGUGAAAUGCGUAGAUAUCAGGAAGAACACCGACGGCGAAGGCAGCCUACUAGACUAAAACUGACGUUGAGGCUCGAAAGCGUGGGGAGCAAACAGGAUUAGAUACCCGAGUAGUC